ensembl:lncRNA
AUGGAUUUUUCUCCCACUUUUCCCCAUUCCCCAUGGAUUUUUUCCUAUUUCCUGUGGAUUUUUCUCCCACUUUUCCCCAUUUCCCGUGGAUUUUUCCCGUUUUUCCCCAUUUCCUGUGGAUUUUUCCCCAUUUCCCAUGGAUUUUUUCCUAUUUCCCGUGGAUUUUUCUCCCACUUUUCCCCAUUUCCCAUGGAUUUUUCCCCAUUUCCCGUGGAUUUUUCCCCAUUUCCCAUGGAUUUUUCCCUAUUUCCCAUGGAUUUUUCACCAUUUCCCAUGGAUUUUUCCCCAUUUCCCAUGGAUUUUUCCCCAUUUCCCGUGGAUUUUUCCCCAUUUCCCAUGGAUUUUUCCCCAUUUCCCGUGGAUUUUUCCCUAUUUCCCAUGAAUCUCCCAUGGAUUUCCCACCAAUUCCCCAUUUCCCAUGGAUUUUUCCCCAUUUCCCGUGGAUUUUUCCCUAUUUCCCAUGAAUCUCCCAUGGAUUUCCCACCAAUUCCCCAUUUCCCAUGGAUUUUUCUCCCACUUUUCCCCAUUUCCCAUGGAUUUUUCCCCAUGGAUUUUUCCCCAUUUCCCACGAAUCUCCCAUGGAUUUCCCACGGAUUCUCCCCAUUCCCGGGGUUUUUCCCUUCACUUCCCACAGAUUUCUCCCAUUUUUCCCCACCUCCCAUCGACUUUUUCCCCCCUUUUCUGCCCAUUUUCCCCACACUCUCCCCAUUCCCGAUGUUUUUUCCCCCGGAUUCUCCCCAUUCCCGUGGAUUUCCCCCAAAUCCUCCCCAUUCCCAUCAGUUUUCCCCAAAUUCUCCCCAUUCCCAUGGAUUUUCCCCAAAUUCUCCCCAUUCCCGGGGGUUUUUUCCAUGGAUUUCCCCCGUUUCCUGGAUUUUUCUCCCAUUUUCUCCAUUUCCAGCAGGUUUCCCAUGGAUUUUUCCCCAUUUCCCAUGGACUUUCCCCCAAAUUCUCCCCAUUCCCGCUGUUUUUUCCCCAAAUCCUCCCCAUUCCCGUGGAUUUUUCCCCAAAUUCUCCCCAUUCCUGUGGAUUUUUCCCCAAGUUCUCCCCAUUCCCGUGGGUUUUUCCCCGGAUUCUCCCCAUUCCCCAAGUUCUCCCCAUUCCCGUGGGUUUUUCCCCGGAUUCUCCCCAUUCCCAUCAGUUUUUCCCCAAAUUCUCCCCAUUCCUGGUGUUUUUCCCCAAAUUCUCCCCAUUCCCGUGGAUUUUCCCCCGGAUUCUCCCCAUUCCCAGAGUUUUUUUCCCCCAAAUUCUCCCCAUUCCCGUGGAUUUUCCCUGGAUUCUCCCCAUUCCCGUUGUUUUUUCCCCCAGAUCCUCCCCAUUCCCAUGGAUUUUCCCCCAAAUCCUCCCCAUUCCCAUGGAUUUUUCCCCAUUUCCCAUGGAUUUUUCCCCAAAUCCUCCCCAUUCCCGUGGAUUUUUCCCCAAAUUCUCCCCAUUCCUGUGGAUUUUUCCCCAAGUUCUCCCCAUUCCCGUGGGUUUUUCCCCGGAUUCUCCCCAUUCCCAUCAGUUUUUCCCCAAAUUCUCCCCAUUCCUGGUGUUUUUCCCCAAAUUCUCCCCAUUCCCGUGGAUUUUCCCCCGGAUUCUCCCCAUUCCCAGAGUUUUUUUCCCCCAAAUUCUCCCCAUUCCCGUGGAUUUUCCCUGGAUUCUCCCCAUUCCCGUUGUUUUUUCCCCCAGAUCCUCCCCAUUCCCAUGGAUUUUCCCCCAAAUCCUCCCCAUUCCCAUGGAUUUUUCCCCAUUUCCCAUGGAUUUUUCCCCAAAUCCUCCCCAUUCCCGGUGGUUUUUCCCCAUUUCCCAUGGAUUUUUCCCCAUUCCCGGUGUUUUUUCCCCAAAUCCUCCCCAUUCCCAUGGGUUUUUCCCCAUUCCCAUGGAUUUUCCCCCAGAUCCUCCCCAUUCCCAUGGGUUUUUCCCCAUUCCCGGUGUUUUUUCCAUGGAUUUUUCCCCAUUCCCAUGGAUUUUUCCCCAGAUUCUCCCCAUUCCCAGUGUUUUUUCCCCCAGAUCCUCCCCAUUCCCGGUGUUUUCUCCCCAUUUCCCAUGGAUUUUUCCCCAUUCCCAGUGUUUUUUCCCCGGAUUUUUCCCCAUUCCCAUGGAUUUUUCCCCAUUUCCCAUGGAUUUCUCCCCAUUCCCGGUGUUUUUUCCCCGGAUUUUUCCCCAUUCCCGGUGUUUUCCCCCCGGAUCCUCCCCAUUCCCGGUGUUUUCUCCCCAUUUCCCAUGGAUUUUUCCCCAUUCCCGGUGUUUUUCCCCCGGAUCCUCCCCAUUCCCGGUGGUUUCCCAUGGAUUUUUCCCCAUUCCCGGUGUUUUUCCAUGGAUUUUUCCCCAUUCCCGGUGUUUUU